rnacentral:lncRNA from 1 species
UUUUUUUUUUUUUUUUUUUUUUUUUUUAGCGAUGGGGGUCUUCCUAUGUUGCCCAGGCUGGACUCAAACUCCUCAGCUCAAGCGAUCCUCUCACCUCGGCCUCCCGAAGUGCUGAGAUUAUAGGCGUGAGCCACCGGCCCGGCCUCCUGUUUGCAUUUGUUACAGGCUAGACCCACUUGGAUCUAGUGGAGAAGCAGGUGCACCGGUCUCGGAUCCGAACCACUGGUUGUCCUCAUGGUUUCCUUGGUACAGUUGGGGCCAAACUUCAGAAUCAUUGAGAAUCAGUGCAUGGGCUUGCUCAAAAAAUUCCUGGACCCCAUCCACAGGGAGCCUGACUCGGUGGGAUUCGGGUAGGGGCCAGGAAGCGUGCUGUUGCUGCCAUUCCCUCUCAGGGGACUGUGGUGCGGGGCUACAGGACUUUGAAGAAACUCUGCAGAGGACAGCAAUGGGCUCAGGAACCCGGCAGGGCCCACCUGUGGGAGGGAGGUGGCCCACAAAGGCUAGUACAGUUCUCACUCAGCUGCCCCUAAAUCUGUUUCCCGAGUGCCAGGCCAGUGCCCCGUAUGCCCCCAGAGACACUCGGCCUUUGCCCCAGUCCAGGCCUCUCUGUCCCAGGCGACACUAGAAUCGCCCCCUCCCUUCCCUGGGCUGGGACUCCAGGACCCCACUGGGUCCUGACGGUGCCAACUUCAGCCAGGAAAUCCACUCGCCCCAUCCCCUGCUGGGUCACAAUUUCAGACCUUCCUCCAGCUGAGACCCCUGAGUCAAAUUAGGCAAGUACCAACUCCCCACCUCCCCAACCGCCGCAGAGCCAGGCCCGGUGUGGACUGCAGGGCCCAGAGCAGGAAACCCAAGCCCUGCCCACGGGGCCUGACAGGCUGGGGAAAGCAGGAGCUCAGAGCAUGGGGGAUGGUGCCCCAGGAAAGAGGAGCCCGCUUGAGCUCCUCAGGCCAUCAUGUGCCUCCAAAGCCCCCUGGGCAGGUCCCCAGGGUGCAGUUGCCUCAGAAAAAAAAGGGGAAACUUGGUUUUACCAAGCAUCUCAAGGGGGUACUGGCCGUCAUCACAGCAGCCUCCACGCUACACUUCUGUCCCAUCUCCUCUUUUUGAUGACCUAAGGUAGAGGUAAUCCCCAUUGUACACGUGGGAAAAGCAAGGCUGCUGGUUGGAAUGCUGAUGUGAUGGCUGGAGCACAGCAGCCACAGUGGACCUCAAGGUGGAAGCCCCAUGAUAAGGAUGGGAAAGCAAUGAGUCAGAGGAGGCUGGGUCCCCGGUGAUGGUAGAGCUGCCAUUACAGCCCUGACCUCCAGGCAGAUGUCAGCAAGGAGGGGUGGGGAGCCCCAGAGAUGUCCCUGCCUUCACGAACUGUCUGGUGGCAGGAACUCCAGUGCAAGAUGGGAGGGGACCCCACGCACUGCAGCUACCAGCAUGCUAAGAAGGGGGAGAUGCGGGCCAGGCACAGUGGCUCAUGCCUGUAAUCCCAGCACUUUCAGAGGCCAAGGUGGGUGGAUUACAAGGUGAGGAGAUCAAGACCAUCCUGGCUAACAUGGUGAAACCCCGUCUCUAUUAAAAAUGCAAACAUUAGCCAGGUGUGGUGGUGGGCGCCUGUAGUCCCAGCAACUGGGGAGGCUGAGGCAGGAGAAUCACUUGAACCUGGGAGGUGGAGCUUACAGUGACCGAGAUCGUGCCACUGCACUCCAACCUGGGCGACAGAGCAAGACUCUGUCUCAAAAGAAAAAAAAAAGGGGAGAAGC